rnacentral:tRNA from 1 species
GUCACGGUAGCUCAGUUGGCAGAGCGCGGGACUCAUAAGCCCGAGGUCGCUGGUUCAAUCCCAGCCCGUGACACCA